rnacentral:tRNA from 2 species
GCCGAAGUGGUGGAACUGGUAGACACGCCAUCUUGAGGGGGUGGUGAGCCAUGCUCGUGGGGGUUCGAGUCCCCCCUUCGGCACCA